AACAACUUUUUUUGUCCUUUCAGUUAACGCAUCUAGCAGUGAAGAUUAUGAAGAUGUGACACCAACACCGGAUUUUGACUACAAUGUCACAUUCGACUACUAUUUGUACAAUGGCACCGAAACAUCAAAUGCUAAUUCUGAAUUACUUGAAAUUCUCCCGGAUACUAAAAAUCAAGGGAAUACGGUUUUAACGCCAGGACACAGAUACUAUGUGAUAUUAGCAGGAUUGAUGGCGAUGAAGAUCUGCCAGCAAACAUCAUAAUGACAUCAACAAUGUUUAAAGAUGCUGUUGAUGUCAUCUAAGAGAAGAGACCAGAAUAUCCUGCCAUCGUCUGCACACAGUGACGUCAAUACUGACAUUAAAGAAAAAAAAAAAAUUCUACUAAAGAUAUACGUGUUGCUGAAUGUAUUUUUUUACCUGAAACAUAUCAAAUGAUAUCAAGCUGUUUAACAUGUUUAUUUGUCUAUCAAUUAUCCAAGUAGGGCUGCACGAUAUUGAAAUAAACUGACAUUGCGAUAUUUAGUUUUUCUGCGAUAAAGGAUGUGAAUGAUGUAAUAUAUAGAGAUAUGAGAUAUGAAUAUGAUUUCACAAGAUGACUCUGUUUGGGAAAAAAAGUCAUCAUUUUACGUUGAUUGUGAUGAAUUACAAUUAUAAGCAAAUUACAAGCAUAAAUUAAUACACUAAAGUUAAUCACGUCUAGCAUUGUUUGAAUAAUAAACUGAACUUUAAAAUAAAACAAAGAUAUAAAUGAAAUAAACGGUGCUUUAUGAUUUUCUGGAGAAUCUAACAAUAUUGAGGUACACAAAUUAACUAAUCAACUAAUAAAAUAACUCUUUAUAUGAUAGUCAACAUUUGAAGUGGAUCAAACCUUUCAUCAAAGUUGCCCUAAAACAAUUCAACGUCUCUUCAUGCAAUAUAUAAAGAAAAUUUUAAAAACCUUUGAUCUUUUCUGCCUCAAAUGGUCUUCAUUAUAGAAAUAAUUAAAUAUAAUUGAUCUUUGCUAAUUUUAUAAAAACUUUUUACAAAUUUUAUCAUUUUAAGUUAAUUCAAUGGGCUCUAUGCACAGCUAAUGUUUUUCAGCCAAUGAUGACCCACAUAGAAAUAACAUAUGUGAGGAUAUAUGCGCAUAUAUGAAACAUAUAUACAGUAUAUAUGCACAUAUAUGAUAAUGUAUAGGCUGCAUUCAUAUAGGCAAAUUUGAGAUGCAAAUAUGUGCAUAUAGUCCAUAUAGGUCUACUGUAUUGCUUCUUCAUAUCCCCAUAUAAGCCCACAUAUGUACAUACAAGAUAUGUCUCCUAUAUAGCUCAAAUAUCACUUUGGCAACUGUAUACAUGAUGUUUAGCUCAUAUUUUCUAUUAUUAAGGCAUUAACUACGAACUAAAAAAUAUAUGCAAAAAACGUAUGUGUGCGAACACUUGAAAUUGGGAUCACAUGUAAUUGGUCUGGAAUUUAACUAUGGCAAAUAAGUGAGAGCCCACAAAGAAAUAACCUAUAUAAACAUGUUUUAAUAUAGAUUUUUAAAAUAUGUGACGUAUAUGAAAAUGGUUAAUUUUAUAUACAGUAUGUCACAUAUAUUAAAAACCUUUAUCAAAACAUAUAUGUUUAUAUAGGUUCUUUCCGUGUGGGGAACUUUCAGUGAAAGCCUUAUGUAACUAUUUUCAAUUUCAUAAGGUUCCUUUUACAGCAGAUAAUGAAGUAAAUAAACCUAAGCAUUCAUUUAGUUGUUAAAGCGUAAAAAAAGAGACUAACAAACGUUUAAACGCAGGCUUCGUCAAAAGCCGCAGGCCAGUGCAGAAACUCCAUUGAAAAUACUGGGGUUAAAUUAAUUUCCAUAUUUUAAAGACAUGGCAAGGAAAAAUAUAAUUUAAUGCAGUGCUUCUUGUUUGGUCUGAUACCCACUUUAUAUUGCAUCUCAGGCAUGCAGUGAAAAAUCGUAUUAUUUUUUUUUUAAGAAAUCAGCUCUUAUACGCUGCGAUUUUGUAUGGGACGAAAUUGAACCAGAACCCUGGGGCUGGCUGACUGAAAUUAAAAGUCUGUGUGCGUAUACCAAAAGAAAACCAUAAUUCUAGACCUUUAAAAAAAAAACUUUCACGCUUUUAGGGUUAACUUUGUUCUGAACUUUGUUUUUUGGUUAAUUACAAUCCCAACUUGACAUUGCAGAUCCUGUGAUGUGACUAUUGCACAUUCGCACAUUGCGAUAGGCCUAUCUAUGCUGAAAUGAUAUAUUGUGCAGCCCUAAAUCCAAGUAUAAUAAACAUAAUCCGAGGAGCUUUUCUGCAAAAUGUAACCUUCGUUUUUACACUUCUCAUGCUUUUGCAAAACGAAAUAAAGCACAUCCUUUUUAAUAA